UCUCUUUUUUUGAUUUCUCUUUUUUUGAUUUCUCUUUUUUUGAUUUCUUUUUUUUUGCUUUCUCUUUUUUCUGCUUUUUCAUUUUUUGCCUUUUCAUUUUUUUAGCAUCAUAAAAAUUUUAUCGUUUAGUUUAUUUAAACUAGAAUUAGCAACAUAUAUCUUUUAAAUUUAAUUUAACUGUAUGUUAUUCACUUUCAUAUAAAAAAAAUAAAAUAAAAGCAAACAAAUAAACAAAUUGUCGCAUAAUUAAACUAGUUAAACAAGUAAAAUAAUGUUUGCAUAGAAAUCUAUGUGUAUUUUAUUAAACACUGUUUUAAGAAAAAAAAAAAAAAAAAAAAAAAGGCAUCUCUCUUUUAUUAUUUUUAUAUUAAAGUAACAUGUGAUUAUUUUGUAUAUACAUAUAUAUAUAUAUAUAUAUAUAUAUAUUUAUAUGUACAAGCACUCUAUAAAUAUACAUACAGAUAAAUAAAAGCAUAUUCAUUUGUUUGUGCGUAAGCCUCAUGCUUGCCCCUCCUACUGAAGCGUACCUCGUUAGCGCACUUGCUUCUUCUUCUUAUUCUUCUUAUUCUUCUUUUUUUUUUUUUUUUUUUUUUUUUUUCACAAACGUAAGUAACGUCCAAUUUUAUGACUAAAUAUAAUUUUUUUUCAUAUUCGUUGUUCAGAAAAAUGAGUACAUCAAAUAAAAACACACUUAAACUAGAGAGCCUUAAUCAACAGCUAUUUCAAGAAUUAAUUAAUAAAAAAAAAAGCUUAUUAGAAAAGAAAUUAUUUAUUCAAUUACCAAAUGAUAAAUUAAUAACAUCAGAUAUAGAAAAAACAUGUCCACUUACUUAUAAAUUUUUAAAAAAAAUACAUAAAAUAAAUUUAAAUCAUCUUGAGGUCAAAGUUGCUAAUAAAAAUAUAGAUAGAGAUUUUUUAGAGGAUGUAACUAACAAGAAUAAUAGCAAAAUAGAUGUCUCUUAUAAUAAUAAUAAUAAUGUUAUAACAGAAAAAACGUUAGAUAGAAAUCAUAAUCAUUGUAAUAAUUUGGUUAAAGAUCAAAAAAAUAACUUAAAUAAUAAAAGUAAUUUAGAUGAUUCCUAUAAUCUUAGUGUAAAUUUCCUCGAUUCGUAUAUACAAAUCAACACGCUAGCAUUAAACGAAUAUGAUAGUUUUUUUUUUUUCAAACAUAUAAUUGAAUUUAUAGACAUAUUAGCAGCUGACACUGUUUAUAGACUUUGUUUAGGUGGUUAUAAGCAAAAUGAUCAAUUUAAUUUUGUUACUAUUUUAUUUAAUAAUUUAAAAAUAUACCAUGAUAAUAAAAUUCAUCAUGAGUUCUGUUUUGCACUAAAUGAAAAAAAACCAUUAACCAUCAAUAGUUACAUUGUCCAUGCAGGGAAUACGUCAUAUACAUUAAAACUAGAUUUUUUUCAAGCAGAUCAAUUAGUUUUUGAUAUUUAUACUACAUAUGUAAAUGUAAAUAAAAUCACAUUAAAACCACAAGAAGUUUUAAGAAUCAAUAAUAUACAACAUAUACAAAUAUAUGACAAAAUAAACGAAUUUGCAUGUUUCCUUAAAUAUAUACAAAGCUUAUUUAAUCAUAAAAAUAUUGGACAAAUGCAUAUAAACCAAAGUGAUAUCAUUUUUUUAACUAAUUAUUUUAAAAAUGUAGAAAUAAAAAAAAAUCCAUACACUAAUAAAAACGUACAUGCAAAUACAAAUAUAUAUGAAGAUAUGGAUGUCGGAAGUAAUACUGAAAAAAAAAAAACGGUUAACACUUUUUCAAUUAUUGAGAGAUUAUUUAAUUAUGUAGAUGAUAAUAAACAAGACUUUGUAAAAAAUGUUUGUGAAGAUGAUGACAAGAACCGUGAACAAUGUAAUAAUAAUGGUACCACUACUACUACUACUACUACUACUACUACUAAUAAUAAUAAUAAUAAUAAUAAUAAUAAUAAUAAUAACAAGAAAGAAGAAAAUAAUUUAUAUUUUCAUGUUGCUCAAAAUAAUUACUAUUGUAAAGACUCAUAUGUAGAAUCUAAAUUUUUUAUUUCAUCUGAGUAUCGUAAUAUACAUAAUUUUACAUUUGGGGGAUAUAUAGCUUAUCUGUCAUUUUGUCAUGCUAUGACUAUUAUAAAACAUUUUGUUGAUAAACCUGUUCUUAUCGAAAUAAACGAUAUACAAUAUAUAUUACCUGUUCCAUAUAAUUCAGUUGUUUCGUAUAGAGGAAAAGUAAUUUAUUCAAGUAAAAAAAAAAUUCAAGUUUUAAUUGCUUGUUAUUGUUUUAAUAAAAAAAAUAAUAAUUAUUUUUUGGCUGCCAUGUUUCAGCUAGCUUUUGAAAAUAAUAAUCAAAAUAGUAUAGCUUUUAUACCACAAUCGGAUGAGGAAUAUAAAUUAUACUUGUUUGGUCAUAUUCGUUCACACUUGUUUCCAUAACGUAUUACAUAGUAGGAAAUUAUGCACCGCGUGUUUACAAUCGUGUAGGUCAUGGCUACAUAAAUUAAAAGUACGUCUUUAUUUUUUUUAUUUUAUUUUUUUUUUUUUUUUAAAAGGGUACUACAUACGUACAUACAUACAUAACAUACGUGUUUACCCAUUUAUUUACUUAUAGAUAGAUACACUUAUCUUUUCGUUUCUGUUUUCUCUUUUAUUUUUAUAUUUUACAAA
rnacentral:lncRNA from 1 species